AUCAUUUGCAGCAAUAUUAAUGGAACUGGAGAAUAGCAUGUUAAGUGAAACAAGCCAAGGCAAAGAAACAGAAAUAUUACAUAAGAAUCUGUGACAUCUAAAAGCUGAUCUCAUAGAAGUUGAGAGAAGAAGAGUGGUUCCUGGGAACUAAGAGUAGCUGGCAGGAGGGAAUCCAUAGAAAGAUUUUCCAUGGAAACCAAUUUUAGAAAAAAUAAAUUCUGUUGUUCUAUUGCACAAUAGAGUGACUAUAGAUAAUGAAAAUGUACUUAUACAUUUUUAAAAAAGAACUAGAAGAAAUAAUUUUGAACGUUUUCAACACAAGGAUAUUAUAAAUGUUUGGGGAACCAGUUAUGUUUACCCCGAUUUAAAUAUUAUACAAUAUAAACAUGUAUUGAAACAUCACAUAGUACCUCAGAUACUAUUUUAUGUACAAGAAAAUUAACAAUACAUUACAGUUUAUUUUCCAGUAAAAUGUUAUCAAUGUUUUGUUGGAGUUGAAUUCUAAAACUUAUCUCACAAAUUCCUAAAAUUUAUCAGACAUGGGGAUGUCUCUAUAUUCUAUGUAUAAACAUCAAAAACCAAGUCAAAAAUGUCAUGGAAAAUAAAAUAUGACAUGAUUAUAAAAAUAUGAAGAACUCCUGGAAUAUAAAAUCUAUGUAUUCUAUUUGUAGGAAAGAACAACAACUAAAACAUGUAUAUGGUAUGAAUACCUGCCAGUUACCAGAUGACGAACAUUUCAGUGUUGCGAAUCAAAACCAGGGACUCAUGCAUACUAGGUAACCACUGAGUGGAGACUUGAAGCAUCCGAGAAGAUGACAGAAAAUAGCCUCUAUGCAGAAAAGGAAGUCAACGCUUUUGUGCAUCUGACCACAAACACCAGAGAGAAAUGCUUAUUAAAUCCGGAAGGCUGUAAUGGCUUAACUGGAUUUUAAUAGAAAUUGCACAUAGAAUGAAGUAUUUGCAAUCAUAGACUCACUUCGUCGUACCUGUGGUUUAACAACGUAGUUGGUCUCCUGUUGUGUUCCUGCCACAUCAGAAUUUUUUUCAACUUUUAUUUUUUGAAAUAAAUCUAACUUGUGAUUGCUGCACUCAUUUGGUAGAUAGAUACCCGUUACACUUCAUGAGCUCAGUGGUUGUGACAAUGGGCCUGACAUGCCACUCAGGAAAAGGGGCAUUGAUGAAUAUCACCAGUGAAACCUAGAAUGCCAUUAUGGGUGCUCUUCUGCUAGAAAGGUCCAGAAAGAUAAAUUGUUUCCUAUCUUUUAUCUGGAUCUCUAACACUGUGCCACCUCUCCACCAUAACCUACGGUGUUCUUUCUUUUCAGUUUUCAGAUGUUGACUUAUACCUACUUAUAAAAAGGUAUAAGUGGUAACACACUCGCCUGGUAUGCGUGGGGCGUUGGGUUCGAUCCUCAGCACCACAUAAAAAUAAAGAUGUUUCCACCAAAAACUGAAAAAUAAAUAUUAAAAACUUUUCUCUCUAAAAAACAAGUCAGGGGGACAUAACAUGCACAUAUCAUAGCCAAAGCAAGAGUGUGUCACCUAUGAUUCCAUUUGCUGAAGCUCAAUCUUUGAAAAUAAACAAGAAAAGCAAUAAUAAUGUGUUACGGUAAAUGUCAUUGCUAAUUGUUGUCCUCUAAUUAUCCUGAUAGAAAGCUAUAAUAAGUUUAUUGUUUAUGUUUUUUUUCCCUGUGACUUUUCCUGCUAUUCUCACUUGGCUCCUCUUUAACUCUUGCUUAAUAAAACCCUUGCCUAACAUCCAAGCAACAAAUCCUUAAGAAAGCCAACUGAAUUCUCAAUGGCCAAGAUGCACUUGUUGGCCUUGGGUGUCUUACAAACCCUGUGUAUACCAUCAUCAGAGAGGACAACUGGGCUGAAAGUCUUCCUAUGCUCCACAAGUUCUAUGCUCCGUUCAUCUCCAUUAUUCUUUUUGCCCCAGAAAGCCAAUGUGUAUAAACAAGGGGUUUUAAUAAUCUGUGAUUUCUGGAAAAUUUUGACCAGUUGGAAGCUGUGCAGCUCAGAGAAAGAAUGAAAUCAGCAUUUUCAUUCCAAUAGAUUACUCCUUAGACUAAUCAUGUUCCUGAGCCUCAAGUCAAGGAUUACUUUCAAGGUGGUCUUCCAUGAAUGACUACCUGCCCCAUGGUUAUACAAACUCUUUCUCUCCUUAUUUCUUCAACAUGAUGAGUUUACAGGCCUGCUGCUCCAUAGCUUUGGAUUUGUUAAUCAUUGUACUACACUCAUUUCUGUAAAUAUCCUCUUUUCAAGGAGCUGCAUAACAAAUUUUCAAACCUGUUGAUUUUAUUGAGAACCAUUUUAUUUUUCCUCAUACUCUUUAGUGUUAGGAAGUUUAAGAAGACCUGGUUGAUCAAUUCUUCUGCUUACUAUGUUCAUUUGGUGGCAUUAAUUUAGAAGAUGGACAGGAAUAUUCAAGAGGUAUAUUCAGCAGUAUCCUUGGAGCAUUGGUAGAAACAGCUGGAAGACAGGAUCUGAUGGGCCCUACUGUUUUCAAUGUCCUUGCAGGACAUCUCCAUCUUCUCUUUGCAGCAGGAUAGUCACUUUUACAUGGU